rnacentral:rRNA from 1 species
GAAUCCGCUAAGGAGUGUGUAACAACUCACCUGCCGAAUGAAUUAGCCCUGAAAAUGGAUGACGCUGAAGCGGGUAGCCGACACCAUGCCGUCUGGACAAAAGUGGUAAUUCCAGAUGAGUAGGAGGGCGUGGCGGUCGACAGGAAGCGUCGGAGCGAUCCGACGUGAAUCGGCCGCUAGUGCAGAUCUUGGUGGUAGUAGCAAAUAUUCAUGUGAGAUCCUUGAAGGACGAAGCGGGAAAGGGUUCCACGCGAACAUUGAUUGAGCGUGGGUGAGUCGUUCCUAAGCCGAGUGGCAAUUGCUAAUUACCGGCGAAAGGGAAGCAGGUUGACAUUCCUGCACACGGAUGUGGAGUCGGCGACGACUAUCUGGGAUGGUGACGUUGGCGGAGGCUCUGGGCAGAGUUGUCUUUUCUGUUUAACCGUCAGUGUGUGGUGUGUGGAAUGCGCUUGUCGCGAGAAACACUCACGCACGGGCAUAGCGCCGGGACUUUUCCGGCGUCCAGAUCGCCUCCGACAGCCCUUGAAAAACCAUCUGCUGGGCAUCUUUAUUGAUGUUUGUAAAAUCCACGCCGUAACGUACCGAUCACCGCAUCAGGUUCCCAAGGUGAACAGCCUCUGUCCAAUAUGAUCAAUGCAGGUAAGGGAAGUCGGCA